GUGGGGAAUAUUGGACAAUGGGGGGAACCCUGAUCCAGCCAUGCCGCGUGUGGGAAGAAGGCCUUUUGGUUGUAAAGCACUUUAAGCGAGGAGGAGGCUACCGAGAUUAAUACUCUUGGAUAGUGGACGAUACUCGCAGAAUAAGCACCGGCUAACUCUGAGCCAGCAGCCGCGGUAAUACAGAGGGUGCAAGCGUUAAUCGGAUUUACUGGGCGUAAAGCGCGCGUAGGUGGCCAAUUAAGUCAAAUGUGAAAGACCCGAGCUUAACUUGGGGAGUGCAAUCGAUACUGGUUGGCUAGAGUCUGGGAGACGAUGGUAGCAUUCCAGGUGCAGCGGUGAAAUGCGUAGAGAACUGGAGGAAAACCAAUGGCGAAGGCAGCCAUCUGGCCUAAUACUGACACUGAGGUGCGAAAGCAUGGGGAGCAAACAGAAUUAGAAACCCCGGUAGUCC
rnacentral:rRNA from 1 species